rnacentral:rRNA from 1 species
UACGUAGGGUGCGAGCGUUGUCCGGAAUUAUUGGGCGUAAAGGGCUCGUAGGCGGUUUGUCGCGUCGGGAGUGAAAACACCGGGCUUAACUCGGUGCUGGCUUUCGAUACGGGCAGACUAGAGGUAUUCAGGGGAGAACGGAAUUCCUGGUGUAGCGGUGGAAUGCGCAGAUAUCAGGAGGAACACCGGUGGCGAAGGCGGGUCUCUGGGCAGUAACUGACGCUGAGGAGCGAAAGCGUGGGGAGCGAACAGG